UACGUAGGCAGCAAGCGUUGUUCGGAUUUACUGGGCGUAAAGGGCGCGUAGGCGGUGUGUCAAGUCAGGCGUGAAAGCCCCGGGCUCAACCUGGGAACCGCGCUUGAGACUGGCACGCUCGAGUUCGGGAGAGGAUGGUGGAAUUCCCAGUGUAGAGGUGAAAUUCGUAGAUAUUGGGAAGAACACCGAUGGCGAAGGCAGCCAUCUGGACCGACACUGACGCUGAGGCGCGAAAGCGUGGGGAGCAAACAGG
rnacentral:rRNA from 1 species